CGUAAUAGCUCACUGGUCGAGUCGGCCUGCGCGGAAGAUGUAACGGGGCUAAACCAUGCACCGAAGCUGCGGCAGCGACACUAUGUGUUGUUGGGUAGGGGAGCGUUCUGUAAGCCUGUGAAGGUGUGCUGUGAGGCAUGCUGGAGGUAUCAGAAGUGCGAAUGCUGACAUAAGUAACGAUAAAGCGGGUGAAAAGCCCGCUCGCCGGAAGAC
rnacentral:rRNA from 1 species